rnacentral:rRNA from 1 species
AACGAACGCUGGCGGCAGGCCUAACACAUGCAAGUCGAACGCUCCGCAAGGGGAGUGGCAGACGGGUGAGUAACGCGUGGGAAACUACCCAGCUGUACGGAAUAACCUAGGGAAACCUGGACUAAUACCGUAUACGCCCGCAAGGGGAAAGAUUUAUCGCAAUUGGAGGUGCCCGUGUCGGAUUAGCUAGUUGGUGGGGUAAUGGCUCACCAAGGCAACGAUCCGUAGCUGGUCUAAGAGGAUGAUCAGCCACACUGGGACUGAGACACGGCCCAGACUCCUACGGGAGGCAGCAGUGGGGAAUAUUGGACAAUGGGCGAAAGCCUGAUCCAGCCAUGCCGCGUGAGUGAAGAAGGCCUUAGGGUUGUAAAACUCUUUCGCCGGGGACGAUAAUGACGGUACCCGGAGAAGAAGCUCCGGCUAACUUCGUGCCAGCCGCCGCGGUAA